rnacentral:lncRNA from 1 species
CCCCAGGGACAUCAGACGAGUACAGGAAAAGGGGACUAGAGGAAUCUACAGGAGUAGGAGCACCAGUACUUGUGCUAGAAGCCAUAAUGAACCGGCUUAGACAAAUAACUUGUCAACAAACAGGAUGCUAUCAGAACAAGUAUACAAACACAGUAACCAACAAAAAAACUACAGUUAGGUCAAGUAGUCACAGAUACCACCAGAUGCUCACAACUACAAAGUCAAGUAAGCACACAUAAAAUCGAGGAUAAGGACAAAGUGUUACCCUCCUUCUUCGCAACCGGAGAAGAUUGGCCUUCAAACAAAGAGAAACCCUAGGUAUCAAACCCU